rnacentral:rRNA from 1 species
GUGCAUGCGCAGCUUACCAUGCAGUCGACGGACCGACAUGGAAGCUUGCUUCUAUGAAGGUUAGUGGCGAACGGGUGAGUAACGCGUAAUCAACCUGCCCAUCAGAGGGGGACAACAGUUGGAAACGACUGCUAAUACCGCAUACGAUCCAAUCCCGGCAUCGAGACUGGAUGAAAGGUGGCCUCUACUUGUAAGCUAUCACUGAUGGAGGGGAUUGCGUCUGAUUAGCUAGUUGGAGGGGUAACGGCCCACCAAGGCAAUGAUCAGUAGCCGGUCUGAGAGGAUGAACGGCCACAUUGGGACUGAGACACGGCCCAAACUCCUACGGGAGGCAGCAGUGGGGAAUCUUCCGCAAUGGACGAAAGUCUGACGGAGCAACGCCGCGUGAGUGAUGACGGCCUUCGGGUUGUAAAGCUCUGUUAAUCGGGACGAAAGGCCUUCUUGCGAAUAGUUAGAAGGAUUGACGGUACCGGAAUAGAAAGCCACGGCUAACUACGUGCCAGCAGCCGCGGUAAUACGUAGGUGGCAAGCGUUGUCCGGAAUUAUUGGGCGUAAAGCGCGCGCAGGCGGAUUGGUCAGUCUGUCUUAAAAGUUCGGGGCUUAACCCCGUGAUGGGAUGGAAACUGCCAAUCUAGAGUAUCGGAGAGGAAAGUGGAAUUCCUAGUGUAGCGGUGAAAUGCGUAGAUAUUAGGAAGAACACCAGUGGCGAAUGCGACUUUCUGGACGAAAACUGACGCUGAGGCGCGAAAGCCAGGGGAGCGAACGGGAUUAGAUACCCCGGUAGUCCUGGCCGUAAACGAUGGGUACUAGGUGGUAGGAGGUAUCGACCCCUUCUGUGCCGGAGUUAACGCAAUAAGUACCCCCGCCCUGGGGAGUACGACCGCAAGGUUGAAACUCAAAGGAAUUGACGGA